AUUGAACGCUGGCGGCAGGCCUAACACAUGCAAGUCGAGCGGAGCGGCGGACGGGUGAGUAAUUCCUAUGAAUCUACCUGGUAGUGGGGGAUAACGUCCAGAUACGAGCGCUAAUACCGAAUACUAUCCAAUGAGCCUAGAUCGGAUUAGCUAGUGGGUGGGGUAAAGGCCUACCAAGGCGACGAUCCGUAACUGGUCUGAGAGGAUGAUCAGCCACACUGGAAAUGAGACACGGUCCAGACUCCUACGGGAGGCAGCAGUGGGGAGUAUUGGACAAUGGGCGAAAGCCUGAUCCAGCCAUGCCGCGUGUGUGAAGAAGGGCUUCGGAUUGUAAAGCACUUUAAGUUGGGAGGCGUUACCAACAGAAUAAGCACCGGCUAACUUCGUGCCAGCAGCCGCGGUAAUUC
rnacentral:rRNA from 1 species